ACCUUCAACAGCAAUAAAACACAGGGAGAGACCAUAAAACAGACACAGGGGUGGUUUAAACACAACAUUUAUUUUGUCAUUUCAAAUAAUUCUAUUUAUUAGGGGGAGAAGUAAAGACAGAGUCUCACUGUGUGUCCCAGGCUGGUCUAGAGCUCCCUGUGUGUCCCAGGCUGGUCUAGAGCUCCCUGUGUGUCCCAGGCUGGUCUAGAGCUCCCUGUGUGUCCCAGGCUGGUCUAGAGCUCCCUGUGUGUCCCAGGCUGGUCUAGAGCUCCCUGUGUGUCCCAGGCUGGUCUAGAGCUCCCUGUGUGUCCCAGGCUGGUCUAGAGCUCCCUGUGUGUCCCAGGCUGGUCUCGA